CACAGUAUUAUCGGAGGAUGGGCGAGCCGAUGCGCGCAAGCGCUCUGUUUCCCGUUCCAUCUGGUUCUACCCAUGUUUUUUGCGUACCUCUGUUUCCUCGGCAGGCUCGCCUGCCAGUAGGACACCGUCAACUCAUUGCAAUUGUAGUCAGCGUCAGAAAAACCUAAUAAUUA
rnacentral:misc_RNA from 1 species